UGCACAUCCAUUUUCUCACGAUAGGAAGUUCUCUCCCUCUCACAAUCACACGUCGGCGUAGACAAUUGUUGACCGUCGGGUUUUCGCCAUUUACCGUUGCUGUGCUACACCAUCGCCUCUUGAUUCUGGCUCGAUAUCAGAGCACAUUGAAGAUUCCACUGUCUACUUAGAUGCAGGAUGUACAGAGAGUUUCGAGUUUCUUGGGGCAUACCCUUUGCUACUAGAAGUUGGAGCACAUGCUGUUUGCAGCUUGGAAAACAUGUCUUCUCUUGAUAUGUUUCCAUGUUGAAGCUUUCCGAACAGAAAGAAUGCAUAACUGCAUAUAAGGAGUAGAUGUUUGACAAUUCUUUUGGAAAUUGGAAUUAUAAAAGCAAGGGAGAAUAUUAUUUAGUUAAAUGUGGUUGUUUUUUUUAUGCUGGAUUGCAUCUGAAUAGGGACUGAGAGUAGGAACAGAUCCUGCUUCCAGCCCCAAUCCAUGACACCUAGUUGGAACAGACAGCUGAGCAUUUGUCUUCACACUGCCAUACAUAGCCACAGGUACAUGGUUUGUUUGGUUCAUCUGUCUCUUAAAGUGCCAGACUAUUCUAUUGUUGCACAAAAAAAGAAAAAAAAAAUGUACACCAUGUUUAGUCCCGCGUUGGAAUUUUGAAAAAAAGAGUAAAUUACACUGUUGUCCCUUGAACUAAACCAUUUUGUAUUUAUUCUUUCCACUGCAAUGUGUGUGAAAUUUGGUUGACCUGUAGGUUCCAUGUGUUACAUGUCUGGGUCUAUACAAAUGGAGAAUGUGUACGUCCUCAAAAAUGAAGCAGGCAUGUGGCAGUGGCUAUUUGGCAAGAGUAUGACUAGCAUAAUUCUUCUCAAUAUCGGUUCAAGUGAUGGAUUUGCCGGAAUUACUGCUCCUUUAGCCAGAAUUCUCCCAAUUCGGAUCAUGCCAAAUUUUGGGUUAUUAGUUUCUUUUUUUGGUUCUAACUCUUGGUAUUUGAUCAUGACUGUGAAUUCAUCUCAUAUGUCACCAACUUGGUUUCUUUUUAUGUUAUUUGAUUUGAAUUAUCUUAUUUUUACUUAUCAAAAUAAUUGAACUUUAUUUUGUAGAUUGAUUUAGCAAUGUUUGGUGGUGAAUUA